UGGAACAGCUGCCAUGACCAAGCUACGAUGGCGGGGAAGGUUCCCUCAUUCUUCCCCCGGCUCCACAGUGAGCUCUGCUCUGCCUGGCUACGUCGCUCUCUGCCUCGCACUGCAGGUUCACGGGCUGGUGUCAGGUAGGAGCUCCGGCCUCCUCGCUGGCUUUGCUGCUGUUCUAUUGCUGUUCACUAACACCCAUCUUACAUCACUGCUGUGUCUUAUAAACCAUGUCUGUGCAGCCUGCCGACAGCCAGCAACGUGGAGAAACGACAGGGCACACCUGGGUCCCCAGUAACUGUGUUUGCUGCCUAUACACAGUCUUGUUGUCAGGCCUCGCUGUGCAUGCCCUGCUGCUCUGACUAGAAGCUUUUAAGACAUAGAAUGUGGUGAGCACCAUUACAGGGCUCACGUACCAUUUAAAGGGACACUGUCCAAUUCCUAUAGAUUACACGGCUGGUCCGUGUAAGACAUAGAUCAGACUCUUAAGCCACAAACAAAUCCUGAAUCCCCGACUCUCCGGUUAUGAAAUGAAAACCCACAAGUCAUUCACACUGCACUGGGCACAUCUGACUAGGGCUGAGAGCGAGACCUCAUCUCACAAUGGGGAUGUGAGGAUAUUUACUGGCGUCUUCAUUCUGUGCCCUUGGUGAAGACCUUAUGGUCCCACUCCACCCCCGGGGCUGCUCCCACAACUACUCAGGCAUUUUGGUUCCUUCUGCUGUGGUUUCCAUCCUGCUAAUUUA